rnacentral:lncRNA from 1 species
UUGUGGCCUUUAACUUGAAGGCAGACAGAAAAGAAUUGAAUAUGAGUAUUGAUUUAGCAUCACGUGAAAUUAAGCCUGAAGGGUAUUAUAUCCUCAUAAAGUAUAAUUACUCCUAAAGUUUUAUCUCAAACUGUCUCAGGAACUCUCACCAGCAGGUAAUAAACAGACUUGGAAAAAUGUCACUGGCCACAUUAAACAUCCCCAGUCUGGACAUGGAGGGCAAUCUUAUGUACAGCUCAGUGUAAUGGGAACAGCUCUAGGUUCUAAAAGCUCCGCUGGCUCUGAUGUCCUGUGAACGCCACAACAUGAAAAGAGAAGCGAAGGAGAGUUCUCUAAUAAACAGAAAUUUGUGCACGAUUGGUAUGUGUGUGGAAUACAGCAGAGGCUUAAUAAGGAUCUGACAAAGGCAUGAAACUCUAAUAAUGAUCAUCCUUUUUUUCUUAUCCUCUGUUUCUAAGCACAGCACAUACCUGACCUGUUAAAUCAACUGGCUGACUAGGGGCCAUUUUGUCAGUGAAAAAUAAUAAAAUAAAAUAAAAACAUUAAUGAAGAAAUAAACCUAGAAAAGAACUGAUGUCACUGAGAUUUAGUGGCCAGAAAAACAGCUGCCUGCUAGUGGACCAACAAGCAUCAGCAAAGGUAGAAAUGCUUUUCCUGGGGCCUUGGAGGCACCUCAGGGUUUCACUUGUUAUUCUCACUUCCAAGUGACUCAUACCCCAAAUAUAUGAAGGACUCAGAAAUUGUGCCUUGUGAGGAUAGUGUUCUGAGGACAAAUGGUUAACCACCCCCCUGCAUGAGAAACCGACUAGGUGGGCUGGAGAGAGCCUACUGGGGACUGGAACCAGUGACUGACCUCACCAGAAGCAGAAGGGGCACCUGCCAUUUCUCAAGAAAGCUGUGACCUAAAAAGUUUAGUCAUCAGUCCAAAUUCCUCCAGGAGACCAUUAGAAACUGCCUCUCUGUUUCCCUGAGUCUUGUAGCUAGAGAUGUAACAGGUCAUUUUGGGGACUUCAUUGCCGUGGCCCCUGCUGGGUCAUCUGCUGCGAACAUGGCAUAUCGUUUUCACUCACUGCCAAACACUUAGUGCAGUGAACCUUGGAGGAGCUCCCUGGGCACACAGGGAAAGGACGCUGAAAACAGGUCAGUCAUGUUUUAUGAAUCAGGCCUGAGAAAAGGUAAGCACACCUCCAACCACAGGCGGCACAAUCAAUCUGCUGAUCUUUUUUUAAAAAGUUAGGAGAGUAAGCAAUAAAUCAGCACUGAGGGGGUAGAUCCUCUGCCAUCGAACUGUCUUGAGAUGCAAUUUUAAAUGACUUUGUAGUGACCUUGCUUACCUAAUUACAGGGCUCAAAAGAGAUUUUCCUUACAUAUUCCAUGCGGUGGUGACCGGCUUGGAACAACGUCGUGUUUGUCUCAGAUGGCCACUUCUAACAUGAAAGGCCUGUCUGAUGACUGUCCUCUUCUUUGCAAAUGGACAGACUUGGGAUCUGGAUCUGCGGUACUAAUCAUCUAGAACUGAGAGAGCCAUCCGGGCCAGGAACAUAUGGCUCAGCUAACACCAGGCCACAGACAUGGAAAUAAGCCUGGCUUUGGUGCCAUUCAGAGUAAACAUUAAGUGUCCUCAUGGCAAAUUUGUUCCAAUGGCUGAGAGAAAGGCACCCUGAUGACUUGCAGAGUCAUUAAAAAAAAUGCUGGUGCAGAAUUUGAGUGGCAUUUUGUGGCUCAAGCUGCACAAGGGUCAAUUGUGGGACUGAGAAGAAAAGAGAGGAUUAGCCCCAAGUAAACAACUCAGUGAUAUUCACCAUAAAGUAUGUCUUAGGUGAUUUUCCCACUGUUUAUCUACUCAGACCAUUCUAGAAGUUCCAAAUCUGGAUGAUAAUAAUCCUUGUAAGUGAUCAUCUUGGAUUGUAUUUUAUUCACAGUGACACUGGCUUUGGGAUAGAGCCAAAAUUCUGUUUGUUGAGGACUCACGGUGCAGAGUAAAGUAGAUGUAUAUAGGUUUAGAGGGCAGAUUUGAGUUUGAAUUCUUGCUCUGCUACUUAGAAGAUAUGUACGUUGGUCAAGUAACUAAACCUGUUUCUUAAUCCAAAAGAAACAUUUUGCAGAUAAUAAUACUCACCUUGCAGGACUGACAUAAAGAUAAGCACAGGGAAAUAUCCCCACCCUGGUACCUGAUGGAGUGUGAAUCCAAAACCAAAUAUUUAGACUUUCUUCUUCAAAAAGAAAAAACUUAGAUUUUUUUUUAAUUCAUUGCAAAUUGGAUAGCAUCUUUCUGAAAUAUUCUAUGUCCCACUGAUUUCAUUUCCUUAAUCACUCUGAUCCAGUGCUACUGAAUAGAAAGAAAUGUUCUGUACUGUUUAACGUGGUAGCCACCAGCAACACUGGGCUAUUAGCACUUGAAAUGCAGCUAAUGUGAUCCAGGAACUAAAAUUUUAAUUAAUUUAACUUUAGAUAGCUUCAUGUGGUACAUGGUUCCCAUACUGGACAGCACAUCAUAGCUGAGUCCUGAUAGAUAAAGAAUGAAGGCUUUAGAAAUGGAGGCACAGCAAAGGUGAUGAAAUCAUCCACAGGCUCUCCUCACAUCAGCAGCAGCUACUGAAAGCAGGCAGACUGGCUCAGCCUCGCUCACAUUCACUCUAGGGGCUGACAAUUAUGACAGAAAUAGCACCAGGCAGUGGCUCUCUCUGCCAGAGGCAAGUUCUGUGACCUUGGACAUAAUUCCUAAUUUUUCUGAACCUGUUUUCUCAUCUGCAAAAUGGGGUGGGGAUAACAGUACCAAGCCCAAAUGAUGGUGGUUUUAAUUGAGAUGAAUGCUCAUUUGCUGGCUAAUGCUUAUUGAAUGCUGGCCAUGUGUUUAAAUGAUGGGAAGCCUUCUUAAAGGACUGUGGGGCCCUCACUAGGGGGAGAGGCUGGUUGGAAGGCCUCCAUGUGAAUGAGAGAGAAUGAGAUGAUGGUGCUGCUGAGGUCGCCAGCACUCUAAAGGCCUGAGCUCUCUGCCAGCCCCCUCCCACCUCACUCCCUCAGGCCCUCCCCUGCCUGUCUGCACCCUUCCCCACCACCCCCAUUAAAGGGAAGCUGCCCAGAAGUGAGACUUUGGAGAGGUGUUUGAACACACUGGUAGAAAUUCCAUAGACACGUAGCCACCUCAGCUUCCCCAGUAGCUGAAACUACAGAUAUGCACCAUGACCACCUUACAUUGAAAUUCACCCCUUUCUUUCUUUUUUUUUUUUUUUUUGAGAUGGAGUCUUGCUCUGUCGCCAGGCUGGAGUACAGUGGCGUGAUCUCAGCUCACUGCAACCUCCACCUCCUUUGUUCAAGCGAUUCUCCUGCCUCAGCCUCCCGAGUAGCUGGGACUACAGGCAUGUGCCACCACACCCAGCUAAUUUUUGUAUUUUUAGUAGAGACAGGGUUUCACCAUGUUGGCCAAGAUGGUCUCGAUCUCUUGACCUUGUGAUCCACCUGCCUCGGCCUCCCAAACUGUUGGGAUUACAGGCGUGAGCCACCACGCCUGGCCUCACCCCUUUCUUUUAUGUCUCCCUCACUACUCUGUGGGCUCUGGGAGAAUGUCUGAGCUCACUGCCGUGUCCCUAGUACCCAACCCAUUUUCUGCAGAUUAAGGGUGCUCAGAAGGAUUUGAGGAAAAAAUACAGUCAGGAAUGAGGCUUCCCUCUCUGUGGAACACUCAGCAUCAUGCCAGGAACCCAGCUUCCCAAAUGGCCCCAGGGAGCCUCAGUGGGGUGCCGUCUACAAAACAGCUGACCCUCAGUAUUUCCCACUUUUCUCAACCCAGGUCAAGGCUGUCCCUUCCAGAAACCACUCUACUUGACCUUAAUAGCCUGUGGCCUCUUGCUACAGAAUCACGUAGUGGCUAAGAGCAUGACCCCUGGAGCACAAGGCCCUGCUGGACUAUUCACUACUGUGGUGGCUUGGCAAAGUCACUAAACUUCUUUGUGCCUCAGCUUUCUAAAAUGAGGCUCACUGGGAACAUGAGGAUCAUAUAAAAUAGCACAGCCUCGUCCACAGUCACCACCAAGUGAUGCUGGUUAUGAUUGUGCCUCUUUGCUCCUGUGACAGCUUUUUUCAGCAGUUCAUCAGCUCUUUUGUAGGGGAGUUAAACACGACUAGACUAACUGGUUAUUCCCCUCCUGGACUUUCCUUGAUCUUUUCAGUGUUUUUGUGGUAUUUCUGAUAGAUGGCAUUAACCCUACAGAUCAAGAUGCAGCCUCAUUUGUGUUUUUGGUUUCUGUGGUUUCCUUGGCACACAGAGAGGGAGAAACAAACCGUUUGACUGAUUGGGCAUCUGGGUGGUCUCUUACUUCUGAAGGCCAAUGCCUGAUAUGGUAUGGUGUACACCACUCAUGCUCCAAACUUGAGGGUAGGAGAGGGCACCGUGGUCCCCAGAGCCAUGUGUUCUUGCAAGGCGGCCACCAUGCAGAGGAAGGGGUACCUUCCUCUGCAACAGAUGCAAGCAAACAUGGUGGUAACACCAUAGCACAUGGCUGAGGGUCCAGAAAACCCCUCCAUUUGGCUCUGGGAAAGCCUAUUAGAAGCCAUCAUUCUAGGUGUCUCAAAAUGUUGCCUUCUAAGUCAAAUCCACUCAAAUCAAAUUAAUUUCCUUUCUCUACAUCUUUCCGCCUCACACUUCAACUCUAACUAAUGUAAUACUCAGUGUUUUUGAGUUUAUCCAGUUCUCAUCAUCUUACUAUUACCACCUUGCCAUCACCAAUGUGCUACCUGGACGACUGUUACAGCCUCCCCACUGGUUCAUCCUGCUUCCACUUUUGCCCCAUCCAGUCCAUUUUCUCAGAAAAACCAGAAAAAUCAUUUUAAAAUGCAAACGUGUUAAUAUACCUCUCUCCUACACACACAUGCAGGCAUGCAUGCACACACACACACACACCCUUCGUAAACCUCUUGAAGUCAUUCUGUUUUCAAAAAUCAACCAAAAGACUUAAUGUGGCCUUCAGGACCAAUAUCAUCACUCCUGCCCAGCUCUUCAAGACCAACUGUGGCCUGCUCUCUGGAUUCCAUCCAAGCUGACCUUUCUUUAGCUGUUACAAAGGCCAAAUACCUUUCUUGCAUCAGAGCCAGUGUGCACAAUGUUCGUUUGCCUGGAACACCCUCUUUUCAUGCCCAUCCCAUCACCUCAAUCACACCCACCAUCCCUCCGAAAUGCAAACAUCACUUCUUCAUAAGGCACUUCCCUUACCCACAAUGUAAAUUAGGACUCAUUAUUCUCCCACCGGCCUCUAUUUUUUGGUCACAACAUUUAGCACGUUUUAUAAAUCCAUGUUUACUUGGAUGUUUGUUCACUUAAUAUCAGCCUUUCCUACCCAUCACUAAGUUCCAAAAUAGACAGGACCUUGGCUGUUUGGUACACCAGUUGUAUCUCAAGGUGAAGACAGUUCUAGAUAUAUGGUGAACUCCUAAUCGAUGAUUUGCUGGGUUUUAUCACUUUACUUACAGUCAAUUCCAGGCAGGCUAUAUCUGUAUCUUGGUAAUAGGAGGAAAUAUUUUUCAGUUUUUUCACCACCAAGAGCUUCUUUGCGGCUCUCCCUCUCCCCACUGACUUGGUGUAUUGAAAGAUAGUGGGUAACAACUCUACACAUUAAGUCAUAAUUAG